rnacentral:rRNA from 1 species
UACGUAGGGCGCAAGCGUUGUCCGGAAUUAUUGGGCGUAAAGAGCUCGUAGGCGGUUUGUCGCGUCUGUCGUGAAAGCCCACGGCUUAACCGUGGGUCUGCGGUGGAUACGGGCAGACUAGAGGCAGGUAGGGGAGAAUGGAAUUCCCGGUGUAGCGGUGAAAUGCGCAGAUAUCGGGAGGAACACCGGUGGCGAAGGCGGAUCUCUGGGCCUUACCUGACGCUCAGGCGCGAAAGCUAGGGGAGCGAACAGG